GUGGAUAGUUGUCUCAUUGGCAAUGAUACCACAUCUUCUUUCUUCUAUAAAUACACACAUACAUAUAUAAAAAAGAAGAUGUGGUAUGAUUGCCAAUGAGACAACUAUCCAC
rnacentral:sRNA from 1 species